rnacentral:rRNA from 1 species
GGGUUGUGAGGUUAAGCGACUAAGCGUACACGGUGGAUGCCCUGGCAGUCAGAGGCGAUGAAGGGCGUGCUAAUCUGCGAUAAGCGCCGGUAAGGUGAUAUGAACCGUUAUAACCGGCGAUACCCGAAUGGGGAAACCCAGUGUGACUCGUCACACUAUCAUUAACUGAAUCCAUAGGUUAAUGAGGCGAACCGGGGGAACUGAAACAUCUAAGUACCCCGAGGAAAAGAAAUCAACCGAGAUUCCCCCAGUAGCGGCGAGCGAACGGGGAGGAGCCCAGAGCCUGAAUCAGCAUGUGUGUUAGUGGAAGCGUCUGGAAAGGCGCGCGAUACAGGGUGACAGCCCCGUACACAAAAGCGCAUGUGCUGUGAGCUCGAUGAGUAGGGCGGGACACGUGGUAUCCUGUCUGAAUAUGGGGGGACCAUCCUCCAAGGCUAAAUACUCCUGACUGACCGAUAGUGAACCAGUACCGUGAGGGAAAGGCGAAAAGAACCCCGGCGAGGGGAGUGAAAAAGAACCUGAAACCGUGUACGUACAAGCAGUGGGAGCCCCACCACCAAAGCAUUUGCUGUACCGCGUUGACGGAGCGAAGCGACGUCAAACCGAUAAAACAGCAGUGUAAAGUGAGCCGCAGGGCGCUUUGCGCGACAGCGCAAAGGCAGGCGGUUUCGCGUAGCGAAAGCGAAUGCUUUGGGGUGGGGUGACUGCGUACCUUUUGUAUAAUGGGUCAGCGACUUAUAUUCUGUAGCAAGGUUAACCGAAUAGGGGAGCCGGAGGGAAACCGAGUCUUAAUUGGGCGUUAAGUUGCAGGGUAUAGACCCGAAACCCGGUGAUCUAGCCAUGGGCAGGUUGAAGGUUGGGUAACACUAACUGGAGGACCGAACCGACUAAUGUUGAAAAAUUAGCGGAUGACCUGUGGCUGGGGGUGAAAGGCCAAUCAAACCGGGAGAUAGCUGGUUCUCCCCGAAAGCUAUUUAGGUAGCGCCUCGUGAAUUCAUCUCCGGGGGUAGAGCACUGUUUCGGCUAGGGGGCCAUCCCGGCUUACCAACCCGAUGCAAACUGCGAAUACCGGAGAAUGUUAUCACGGGAGACACACGGCGGGUGCUAACGUCCGUCGUGAAGAGGGAAACAACCCAGACCGCCAGCUAAGGUCCCAAAGUCAUGGUUAAGUGGGAAACGAUGUGGGAAGGCCCAGACAGCCAGGAUGUUGGCUUAGAAGCAGCCAUCAUUUAAAGAAAGCGUAAUAGCUCACUGGUCGAGUCGGCCUGCGCGGAAGAUGUAACGGGGCUAAACCAUGCACCGAAGCUGCGGCAGCGACACUGUGUGUUGUUGGGUAGGGGAGCGUUCUGUAAGCCUGCGAAGGUGGCCUGUGAGGGUUGCUGGAGGUAUCAGAAGUGCGAAUGCUGACAUAAGUAACGAUAAAGCGGGUGAAAAGCCCGCUCGCCGGAAGACCAAGGGUUCCUGUCCAACGUUAAUCGGGGCAGGGUGAGUCGACCCCUAAGGCGAGGCCGAAAGGCGUAGUCGAUGGGAAACGGGUUAAUAUUCCCGUACUUGGUGUUACUGCGAAGGGGGGACGGAGAAGGCUAUGUUGGCCGGGCGACGGUU